rnacentral:tRNA from 1 species
GUCCCCAUCGUCUAGCGGUUAGGACACCGCCCUUUCAAGGCGGAGAUCACGGGUUCGAAUCCCGUUGGGGAUGCCA